rnacentral:rRNA from 1 species
AAAGCCUCGUGCUCAACGCGAGGAAGCCGGACAAUACUGUCAAGCUAGAGGGCAUCAGAGGGGAGUGGAAUUCCCGGAGUAGCGGUAAAAUGCGCAGAUAUCGGGAGGAACACCGAUGGCGAAGGCAGCUCCCUGGGGUGUACCUGACGCUGAGGGGCGAAAGCUAGGGGAGCGAACAGGAUUAGAGACCCUGGUAGUCCUAGCUGUAAACGCUGGGUGCUAGGUGUGGGGCGUAGAAGCUCUGUGCCGCAGCAAACGCGAUAAGCAUCCCGCCUGGGAAUUACGGUCGCAAGGCUAAAACUCAAACGAAUUGACGGGGCCCCGCACAAGCAGCGGAGCGUGUGGUUCAAUUCGAUGCUACACGAAGAACCUUACCUGGGUUUGACAUGUACGUGGUAGAGAAGCGAAAGCGGAUUGACCCUUCGGGGAGCGUACACAGGUGCUGCAUGGCUGUCGUCAGCUCGUGCCGUGAGGUGUCGGGUUAAGUCCCGUAACGAGCGCAACCCUUGCCCUUAGUUACAAGUGUCUAGGGGGACUGCCGGCGGGAAGCCGGAGGAAGGUGGGGAUGACGUCAAGUCAGCAUGGCCCAUAUGUCCAGGGCUACACACACGCUACAAUGGUCGGUACAAAGGGUAGCGAAGCCGCGAGGCGGAGCGAAUCUCAUCAAAGCCGGUCGUAGUUCGGAUUGCAGGCUGCAACCCGCCUGCAUGAAGCUGGAGUUGCUAGUAACCGCGCGUCAGCCAUAGUGCGGUGAAUACGUACCCGGGGCUUGUACACACCGCCCGUCACGUCAUGGGAGUCGGUAACGCCUGAAGCCGGUAGUCUAGCCUGCAAGGGGGGACGCUGUCGAAGGCGGGACUGGCAACUGGGACGAAGUC